rnacentral:rRNA from 1 species
GACGAACGCUGGCGGCGUGCUUAACACAUGCAAGUCGAACGGAAAGGCCCUGCUUUUGUGGGGUGCUCGAGUGGCGAACGGGUGAGUAACACGUGAGUAACCUGCCCUUGACUUUGGGAUAACUUCAGGAAACUGGGGCUAAUACCGGAUAUGAUCUCCUGCUGCAUGGUGGGGGUUGGAAAGUUUCGGCGGUUGGGGAUGGACUCGCGGCUUAUCAGCUUGUUGGUGGGGUAGUGGCUUACCAAGGCUUUGACGGGUAGCCGGCCUGAGAGGGUGACCGGCCACAUUGGGACUGAGAGAGGGCGCAGACUCCUACGGGAGGCAGUAGUGGGGAGUAUUGCACAAUGGGCGGAAGCCUGAUGCAGCAACGCCGCGUGCGGGAUGACGGCCUUCGGGUUGUAAACCGAUUUCGCCUGUGACGAAGCGUGAGUGACGGUAAUGGGUAAAGAAGCACCGGCUAACUACGUG